rnacentral:rRNA from 1 species
GGUGGCAGCUAUAUAAAAGCACGUUGAUUGCACUAGUUUCCAACAGCACCAAAGUUAAGUAACGUUGUGCGUGGAUGGUAAUAGGACGGGUGACCGUCUAUGGGGGAUACCACGUGCUGCUGACU